rnacentral:sRNA from 1 species
AUACUUUCAAUGUGGAGUGGUGCAGUAUUCUAGUCAGUCCACCCUCUCUGAAGGCGGGGCUAAAAAUCCGCUAAAGGGCACAUCGAUGAAGUUCUUGGUGUCGGCUUCCGACGCCCAGUCGGGGGUUGAUGCUGAGAGUUAAGGAGGACGGGCGAUCCACAAAGGCAUGUGGGCGAUGACCCGACCUCCGCGGAGGCCCAAGUGCGUGGCCCGGCGUCAUCGAGCGCAGGCGACGGCUUGGGGUAUGAACCUGCAUAUAGGCUAGGGGGACCUGAUGCAGCGUAGCCUGCCUUGAGUGGUGUUGCGGGGAUGUGGGACUCCGUUUUUCGGACGUUCCGCUGAAAGCAACACUGCAAAAGAGGCUAGGAGAGGCGCCAGGACUGUUGAGGAAAUCUCCUAGACUGUUUGCCGUCAGGGCAAGGCGGGCCGGGGAUUGCAGUGCGGACUGAGUGGUAAUCCAGUCCGGCGGACGGCGACGCCGCCGAAAAAGGUUAUAAAGGGAAACCGCCGCAUUGGCGACGAUGCGGAUACCUUUUUGGGAAAACCUACUGGACCUAAGCCGCAAUAUUUACCCGGUUCGUUAUCACUCCAAGGUCUUUUUCA